AUUGUAGUCUGCAACUCGACUACAUGAAGCUGGAAUCGCUAGUAAUCGCAGAUCAGAAUGCUGCGGUGAAUACGUUCCCGGGUCUUGUACACACCGCCCGUCACACCAUGGGAGUCGGAAAUGCCCGAAGCCGGUGACCAAACCAAUAAGGGAAGGAGCCGUCGAAGGCAGGUCUGAUAACUGGGGUGAAGUCGUAACAAGGUAGC
rnacentral:rRNA from 1 species